rnacentral:rRNA from 1 species
CAGUCGCCACGGGAAUACAGAGGGUGCGAGCGUUAAUCGGAUUUACUGGGCGUAAAGCGUGCGUAGGCGGCUUCUUAAGUCGGAUGUGAAAUCCCUGAGCUUAACUUAGGAAUUGCAUUCGAUACUGGGAAGCUAGAGUAUGGGAGAGGAUGGUAGAAUUCCAGGUGUAGCGGUGAAAUGCGUAGAGAUCUGGAGGAAUACCGAUGGCGAAGGCAGCCAUCUGGCCUAAUACUGACGCUGAGGUACGAAAGCAUGGGGAGCAAACAGGAUUAGAUACCCUGUAGUCCCUGUCUCUUAUACA